rnacentral:rRNA from 1 species
GAUGAACGCUAGCGGCAGGCCUAAUACAUGCAAGCUGAACGGUAAAUGUUGUAGCAAUACAAUAUGAGAGUAGCGUAAGGGUGCGUAACACGUAUGCAAUCUACCCGCAACAGGAGGAUAGCUCCCCGAAAGGGGAAUUAAUACUCCAUAAGAUCACGAGAAGGCAUCUGAUUGUGAUUAAACUCCAAGGGGUUGCGGAUGAGCAUGCGCAUGAUUAGUUAGUUGGCGGGGUAACGGCCCACCAAGACGAUGAUCAUUAGGGGAACUGAGAGGUUGAUCCCCCACACUGGCACUGGGAUACGGGCCAGACUCCUACGUGAGGCAGCAGUAGGGAAUAUUGGUCAAUGGGUGAAAGCCUGAACCAGCCAUGCCGCGUGCAGGAAGAAAGCCUUCUGGGUUGUAAACUGCUUUUAUCUGGGGAUAAAAUACCCGUGCGCGGGGAAUUGAAGGUACCAGAUGAAUAAGCCACGGCUAACUACGUGCCAGCCGCCGCGGUAAUAC